rnacentral:rRNA from 1 species
GGAUCCAGACUUUGAUUAUGGCUCAGGAUGAACGCUAGCUACAGGCUUAACACAUGCAAGUCGAGGGGCAGCAUGAACUUAGCUUGCUAAGUUUGAUGGCGACCGGCGCACGGGUGAGUAACACGUAUCCAACCUUCCGUUUACUCAGGGAUAGCCUUUCGAAAGAAAGAUUAAUACCUGAUAGUAUGGUGAGAUUGCAUGAUAGCACCAUUAAAGAUUUAUUGGUAAACGAUGGGGAUGCGUUCCAUUAGGUAGUAGGCGGGGUAACGGCCCACCUAGCCGACGAUGGAUAGGGGUUCUGAGAGGAAGGUCCCCCACAUUGGAACUGAGACACGGUCCAAACUCCUACGGGAGGCAGCAGUGAGGAAUAUUGGUCAAUGGGCGAGAGCCUGAACCAGCCAAGUAGCGUGAAGGAUGAAGGUCCUACGGAUUGUAAACUUCUUUUAUACGGGAAUAAAGUAUCCUACGUGUAGGAUUUUGUAUGUACCGUAUGAAUAAGCAUCGGCUAACUCCGUGCCAGCAGCCGCGGUAAUACGGAGGAUGCGAGCGUUAUCCGGAUUUAUUGGGUUUAAAGGGAGCGCAGACGGGAGAUUAAGUCAGUUGUGAAAGUUUGCGGCUCAACCGUAAAAUUGCAGUUGAUACUGGUUUCCUUGAGUGCAGUUGAGGCAGGCGGAAUUCGUGGUGUAGCGGUGAAAUGCUUAGAUAUCACGAAGAACCCCGAUUGCGAAGGCAGCUUGCUAAACUGUAACUGACGUUCAUGCUCGAAAGUGUGGGUAUCAAACAGGAUUAGAUACCCUGGUAGUCCACACGGUAAACGAUGGAUACUCGCUGUUGGCGAUAUACUGUCAGCGGCCAAGCGAAAGCAUUAAGUAUCCCACCUGGGGAGUACGCCGGCAACGGUGCAACUCAAAGGAAUUGACGG